rnacentral:rRNA from 1 species
UGCCAGCCGCCGCGGUAACACGGGGGGCGCAAGCGUUAUUCGGAAUUAUUGGGCGUAAAGGGCGCGCAGGCGGUCUUGUCCGUCAGGUGUGAAAGCCCUGGGCUCAACCUGGGAAUUGCAUUCGAUACUGCUUAGCUGGAGUAUGAGAGAGGGUAGUGGAAUUCCGGGUGUAGCGGUGAAAUGCGUAGAUAUCCGGAGGAACAUCAGUGGCGAAGGCGGCUGCCUGGCUCAAUACUGACACUGAGGUGCGAAAGCGUGGGGAGCAAACAGGAUUAGAUA